GUUGGGUGUCUGAAAGCAUCAUUCCUUUUUGAUUUGAUGGUCUUAUAAAAUAUUUUGGAAAGUUAAGGUUACAUAGUUACCAAAGCAGGUAACCAGUAAAUAACAGUGUAAAACUUGGGUUGUUUACUUCCGGUGAUGGUUACAUUCUUAUAUGCAAUGAAAUGUAGUGUAAAAUUUUCACUGUAGCACUGGAAAGGAUUAAACAUUAU
rnacentral:lncRNA from 1 species